rnacentral:rRNA from 1 species
UACGUAGGUGGCAAGCGUUAUCCGGAUUUACUGGGUGUAAAGGGUGCGUAGGCGGGCUAUUAAGUCAGUGGUGAAAUCCUGCAGCUUAACUGCAGAACUGCCGUUGAUACUGAUAGUCUUGAGUUUGGUUAAGGUAGGCGGAAUGUGUAAUGUAGCGGUGAAAUGCUUAGAUAUUACACAGAACACCAAUUGCGUAGGCAGCUUACUGAGCCGACACUGACGCUGAGGCACGAAAGCGUGGGGAUCAAACAGGACUA